CAUCAAUGUCAUCGUGUUUCCAAGCCACAGUAAUGCACUUAGAGCAACUCUUCAUCAAUGUCAUCGUGUUUCCAAGCCACAGUACUGCACUUUAAAGCAACUCUUCAUCAAUGUCAUCGUGUUUCCAAGCCACAGUACUGCACUUUAAAGCAACUCUUCAUCAUAACACUGGGACAUGAUGACUGGAACUGCAUGUAGAACAUUGUCAUGUAGGACGUGUGUAGAUGUGUAGAUGUGUAGGAUUUGCUGACCCCUCAUCACCGAUUCAGUACCUAUAGGCCUGUGUCUGACCAUGCCACUUUGUGACACAUUACGUCCGUUAGCUCGUUAACUCGUCUGUAUUGGUGACUGUAACCAUGGCAGCAUGUCUAACGACCAACCCCCACCUCACCCUGUCUCCUCCGCUCCUCCAAGGUCGCCCCGGCGGUGCUACCAGCUAAACGGACAGUCGGGGCGCAGGCCAACGGAGCAGGACCGGGACACAUCUGUCUGUUUGGAUCCUUAUGUGGUCAUUCAAUGAGGCGUCAGGGCCGCAUGUCGCCCAGCAAGUCUGUCUGGCAUCUGUCUGUUGGCUCAGUGUUGUGUCUGUCACGCUCAAACAGCGACAAUUUAAUGUGGCCAACUUUUAUUGAGUGGGUCAGACAUUGUUGGCCCGGAUGAAGUGGAAUUUCUCUGGCUGUGAUUUUAAAUUGAGCCACUCAUUAGCCCCUCGAAACGAAUGACUUUAUUAAUCUCCUGGGGGGAAAUGAUUUGGGAAAUGGAUAACGACCAUUCGCAGGUUUUGGAGUUCUAUGCUAUCAUGUUUGGCUUAAAACCUUUCAUUAAUAUAACAGAGGAAAUCCGUUACAAUAUAUAGUUUCAUUAAUAUAACAGCUCCAGGUUAACUGUUGAAGGGGAUAUAUAGUUUAAUUAAUAUAACAGCUCCAGGUUAACUGUUGAAGGGGAUAUAUAGUUUAAUUAAUAUAACAGCUCCAGGUUAACUGUUGAAGGGGAUAUAUAGUUUAAUUGAUAUAACAACUCCAGGUUAACUGUUGAAGGGGAUAUAUAGUUUAAUUAAUGUAACAGCUCCAGGUUAACUGUUGAAGGGGAUAUAUAGUUUAAUUAAUGUAACAGCUCCAGGUUAACUGUUGAAGGGGAUAUAUAGUUUAAUUAAUGUAACAGCUCCAGGUUAACUGUUGAAGGGGAUAUAUAGUUUAAUUGAUAUUACAGCUCCAGGUUAACUGUUGUCAUGACGUUGGCCUCUCUGAGUAUAGCAACCCCAUCCCCCUCUCCCUGCCUCCCCCUUUCCUCCUUCAACUAGGCUGCUGUGGUCAGAGGUCGUAAAUUCCUCAGAAGACCCUGUCUCAUGGCCACACAGUAUUAGAGAGAGGGUAAACUUUCAUAGAGGACAAAGGAAAUCCUUCCACCUCACAGAACUUGAGGUACGAACAAAUGUCAUGAUCCGGAGAAAGUGUAAAAGAUGGGUGAAGAAUCCAACUACGAACUGGUCUGUUUGUCACAAAUUGGGAAGCUCAUGGGAGACAGUGUGGCCACAUUACCAUAACGCUGUUUAUAUAAUAGCCCCAGAUAUAAGGUUUACAUCUAAUUGUUGUAUAAGAUGAAUGAGUGAGUAUGAUACUGUUUACACAAUUUUACAAUGUGAUUUUGACUGUGUAAUGAAGGAAAACUCAAAAAGGGAAUUGGAUUUGAACUAAAUCAGAGGACCGGCCCUGAGCCCAGUUAGGGUCAGACAUCCUGGACCGCCCCUGAGCCCAGUUAGGGUCAGACAUCCUGGACCGCCCCUGAGCCCAUUUAGGGUCAGACAUCCUGGACCGGCCCUGAGCCCAGUUAGGGUCAGACAUCCUGGACCGGCCCUGAGCCCAGUUAGGGUCAGACAUCCUGGACCGCCCCUGAGCCCAGUUAGGGUCAGGCGUCCUGGGACAGCCCUUUUCUGCCAUUCCGAAUAAAACCCAACUUUGAGAAAUUAUCAGGAGACCAUGUUUUUCUCCAUCAGGAGGGGGACAAAGGUUGCAGACCAUUGCUGAAUCUUUUAACCAUACCACGUGGUUAAACUCUUAGACUAUCAAUACCGACAGAAUAAGAACAAGUCUUUGAUAUUAAUUACUAGUCUGCAGCUAGGAAUUCGGUAUCAUUGAACGCGAAGAAUGACAACCGCCGAAACAUCCAUUCUAUAACGAAUGUCACUUUGAACUAUCCCCUCUAACCAAGACAGAGAGAGAGGGGGAGAGAGGGGGA
ensembl:lncRNA